AGGUGAAAAGAACCUCGAACAGAGGAGUGAAAAAGACCCUGAAACCAUACGCCUACAAGCGGUCGGAGCCCCUACGUGGGGUGACGGCGUGCCUUUUGCAUAAUGAACCUACGAGUUACUUUUGCCAGCCAGGUUAAUCGAUUCAGUCGAGGAGCCGAAGCGAAAGCGAGUCUUAAUAGGGCGGUAUAAGUUGGCAGGAGUAGACGCGAAACCAAGUGAUCUACCCAUGAGCAGGUUGAAGGUUAGGUAACACUAACUGGAGGACCGCACCGGUAAACGUUGAAAAGUUUUCGGAUGACUUGUGGGUAGGGGUGAAAGGCUAAUCAAACUUGGAGAUAGCUCGUACUCCCCGAAAUGCAUUUAGGUGCAGCCUUCUGACUAUAUUUAAGAGGUAGAGCGACUGAUAAGAUGCGAGGGCUUCACCGCCUAUCAAGUCUUGAUAAACUCCGAAUGCUUAAAUAAGAAUCAGAGGAGUGAGGGCAUGGGUGCUAAGGUCCAUGUCCGAGAGGGAAAUAACCCAGACCACCGGCUAAGGUCCCGAAAUAACGGCUAAGUUGAAUUAACGAAGUAGAACUGCAGAGACAGCUAGGAUGUUGGCUUGGAAGCAGCCAUUCAUUUAAAGAGUGCGUAACAGCUCACUAGUCGAGGAGUUCUGCGUGGAUAAUAAUCGGGCAUAAGCCGUUUACCGAAGCUGUGGAAUCGGCAACGAUUGGUAGGGGAGCAUUCCAUGAGCCGCAGAAGGUUUUCCUUGAGGAAUGCUGGAGGUGAUGGAAAAGCAAAUGUAGGUAUAAGUAACGAUAAAGAGGGCGAGAACCCCUCUCGCCGAAAGACCAAGGGUUCCUGAUCAACGCUAAUCGGAUCAGGGUAAGUCGGGCCCUAAGGCGCAGCCGAACGGCGCAGCCGAUGGCAGAAACGGUUAAUAUUCCGUUACUAUGAUACGGAGUGACGAGGAGACGGAGAAGUGACACUCUCGCCUGCUGACGGAAUAGCAGGUUGAACGGUGUAGAUAAUGACAUGGUAGGCAAAUCCGCCGUGACAGUCGAACCGGAAAGUACUGGGCGCCCCCGGGCAACCAGAUAGCAGAGGUAAUCAUGCUCCCGAGAAAAUCCCCUAAACAUAUGCGUAUCAUACCCGUACCCGAAACGGACACACGUGGUUGAGUAGAAAAUACUAAGGCGCUCGAGCGACUCACGGUUAAGGAACUAGGCAAAUUGACCCUGUAACUUCGGGACAAAGGGUCCCUCCCAGGCGGGAGGGCGCAGAGAAUAGGUCCAGGCAACUGUUUAACAAAAACACAGGGCUGUGCAAAAUUGUAAGAUGAAGUAUACAGCCUGACACCUGCCCGGUGCUGGAAGGUUAAGAGGAGAUGUCAUCGCAAGAGAAGCAUUGAAUUGAAGCCCCAGUAAACGGCGGCCGUAACUAUAACGGUCCUAAGGUAGCGAAAUUCCUUGUCGGGUAAGUUCCGACCUGCACGAAUGGUGUAAUGAUCUGGACACUGUCUCAACCGUGAACUCGGUGAAAUUGUAGUAUCGGUGAAGAUGCCGAUUACCCGCAACGGGACGGAAAGACCCCGUGAACCUUUACUGCAACUUAACAUUGAAUUUGGGUAACUGAUGUGUAGGAUAGUCCGGAGACAGAGAAAUGGAUACGCCAGUAUUCAUGGAGUCACCCUUGAAAUACGGACCUUUGGUUAUUUGAGUUCUAACCCGUGGAAAAUGGGGACACUGUUUGGUGGGUAGUUUGACUGGGGUGGUCGCCUCCAAAAGCGUAACGGAGGCUUCUAAAGGUACCCUCAGGCCGAUUGGUAACCGGCCGAAGAGUGUAAUGGCAGAAGGGUGCUUGACUGAGAGACCGACAAGUCGAUCAGGUAGGAAACUAGAGCAUAGUGAUCCGGUGGUUCCGUAUGGAAGGGCCAUCGCUCAAAGGAUAAAAGGUACUCCGGGGAUAACAGGCUGAUCGCUCCCAAGAGCUCAUAUCGACGGAGCGGUUUGGCACCUCGAUGUCGGCUCGUCACAUCCUGGGGCUGGAGAAGGUCCCAAGGGUUGGGCUGUUCGCCCAUUAAAGUGGCACGCGAGCUGGGUUCAGAACGUCGUGAGACAGUUCGGUCCCUAUCUGUUGUGGGCGCAGGAAAUUUGAGGAGACCUGACACUAGUACGAGAGGACCGUGUUGGACAGACCUCUGGUUUAUCUAGUUGUUCCGCCAGGAGCACCGCUGAGUAUCUAAGUCUGGAAAGGAUAAGUGCU
rnacentral:rRNA from 1 species